GGGCCCGUAGCUCAGCCUGGUAGAGCGACAGGCUCAUAACCUGUUGGUCCAGGGUUCGAAAGAGCUUUAUCCGUAAAGCCCCGAACAUCCCUGCGGGCCCACCA
rnacentral:tRNA from 1 species